rnacentral:lncRNA from 1 species
CAAUUCGAUUUUCUACAUGGGCCUAGCCCAACAAUUCGGCCUUUUUAAUGUAUUUUUUCUAUUAAUUUUCUCUAUAUACAUGGGCCUGGUCCAACAAUUUGGCCUUUUUAUUUUCUAGGGCAUGGCCUUUCUGGCUCCAAAGUUUUUUAUUUUAUUUUUUUCAAAAGAUAGGCCCACUAGUGAGAUGUGACCCGGUUGUCAGGUUCUAAUAAGUGGGUCCAAGUUGUCACUGUAACAUUCUUCAGAUCUCAAUUUUCCAGUAAAUAAAUAACAAUAUUUAAAUCAGAACAGAGAGAAAACAAAAUGCUUCAAACAGAGCACGACUAAUCCGGAAAAGUAUGGUUCACAUCAUGAAUACAAUCAAAAAGAGCCAAACUUGGCACAUUAUUACAAUCAAACAUGGUUCACAUUAGUUUUACAAUAAAAAAAUGUUCACAUCAGGUAACACAGCUAUCACAGUAUAACUAGCUCCAAUGCUUCUCCCAACUUGUUCAUCCUGGACCUCACGACAAAACAUGAAUGAAGGCCAGCAUCUGCAAGUUAUCAAGCAAAAUGGUUAGAACAAGCAAACUGCGAAAUUUUUAUCAUUUAAGCAUAGAAAGACAGGGUCAGCAACAUUUCAAUGUUUGAAAAAUGAGCCAGGAUUUCAUUGUUUGAACAGCAAAAAAUUGAUACAGUAGAUCAUAUGCGGUUUAAAUCAACCCCUAAGGACAGACACGUUGACCCAUUCAUUUGGCAACACCUGUAGAAAUUGAACCUCAUAAACAUGCAAUGUGGAAUUUGUAUCUCAAAGAAGUAUACAUACUUAUCAGGUUUAAUUAGCACAGAGAAGCCAAAUGCUAGUAACUCAUGAUUAGUACACAAGACAGGAUUCAGCAAAGUAAACAAGAAGGUGGCUAUAGUACAAAAGUAAGCUCAUCACACAGAAUAAAUGAGUGGAACUACAGUACAUCCUCUAAAUUAGCAUGUUCACAAGAUUAAAAGUAAGCGCAGCAUAAGCAUAUGAGUUUUGUUUGGCACCACCACAUCAAACAUAGUAACGCCAACGUGAAAAGUUUCAGCAUUAUUGAGAUAUGUUUCCUCGGAAUCAUACUACACAGAGAAGGGUUCAGCCUCAAGUCUAAACUAGCCUUACAUGGUGGAGUACAGAUUU